rnacentral:misc_RNA from 1 species
UCUCCGUUGGUGAACCAGCGGAGGGAUCAUUACCGAGUUUACGACUCCCAAACCCCUGUGAACAUACCAUUUGUUGCCUCGGCGGUGCCCGCUUCGGCAGCCCGCCAGAGGACCCAAACCCUUGAUUUUAUACAGUAUCUUCUGAGUAAAUGAUUAAAUAAAUCAAAACUUUCAACAACGGAUCUCUUGGUUCUG